UGAAAUGUCGGAGAUGCAGCAUAAGCUUACUUCUUGUUGAAUAUCAUGCAUCCAAGAAUAAAUUUCAUUUUGAAUUGUCGCAGUGACUCACCAACACCCCGAAGCAAAAAGCUGACAAAGGAUAUAAGCAUGAAAUGUGAAUGGAUAUCUAUGGUCCUGCUAUUCUCUGAAGUUGUUCUAAAUCCAAAGCUAGUCAGAAGUGAGCUGUACAAAUGCUUCAACUCAGAAGCUGCCUGUUCUUCCAUCUUAACGGAACUGAAACAGUGAGCCUGAGGUCUGUGGUGACAGCUACAUCUUUUCAGAUGAGAUCAGAAGCUGAAGACAUCCUGAUUUGUAUAAUCAUCAAGAUACAAAAUUUACGCAGGAAUAGGUGUUUUUUGUGAGUACUAAGCAUCAUUAGAGGUGGAAACCUCUAAUUUAUUCUGGAAACAAUUUUGCAUAUUUCUACUGUGGAUUUUUGCGUUAGUUAUAAUAACUACUGAUUUUUUUUACCCAUAAGGGACUGCAACAUUCUCAGUGACUAGGUUUACAUAACACAGCUAGGUACAGGUCCACCGUACCUAAACCUAAAUGCCC
rnacentral:lncRNA from 1 species